rnacentral:rRNA from 1 species
GCUAACGGCUGAACUGGCAACUUGGAGAAGUGGCAAGUCUUCCAGUAUGGGGAGCAAAACAGCUAUGGGUCAAGCCCGAUAUCUUUAGGAGAAGUCUUAUUGUGAGGGCGAGUUAUAUAACACCAUAGGGCUGGCCGCCCCAUAUGAAAAGAUUUUAUUAGAAUUGAAUGAAGCUUUGUUUAUAUAUUGAUAAUGACAGUAUAUAUAUCGUGUCUUGACUAAUUGCGUGCCAGCAGUCGCGGUAAUACGUAAGAGACUAGUGUUAUUCAUCUUAAUUAGGUUUAAAGGGUACCCAGACGGUCAAUAUAGCUUAUAAAAUGUUAGUACUUGACUAGAGUUUUAUGUAAGAGGGCAGUACUUGAGGAGGAGAGAUGAAAUUUCGUGAUACCAAAGGGACUCUGUAAAGGCGAAGGCAGCCCUCUAUGUAAAAACUGACGUUGAAGGACGAAGGCACAGAGAACAAACAGGAUUAGAUACCCAAGUAGUCUUUGCAGUAAAUGAUGAAUGCCAUAGGUUAGAUUAGUUAAUGUUUAUAGGUUAAUAGCUUUAGCUUUAGACUAUACAUUUAAAAUUAUUUGGUCUAUAAAUGAAAGUGUAAGCAUUUCACCUCAAGAGUAAUGUGGCAACGCAGGAACUGAAAUCACUAGACCGUUUCUGACACCAGUAGUGAAG